UACACUGUAUAUCUAUAGAACAGAGCAUUUUAAUGUUUCUUCCAUGAACUGCCUAUUGAUACCAUUUACUCACUUACCUACUGGGUUGUCUGUGGUUUCUUACUGACUCAUAAGGCUUCUGAAUACUGGAUAACCCUUUAAACCCCUUGUAAAAAUAUGUUCUAAAUACAAAAACUAAAAGUAAGGCCAGGGGCUUCCCUGGUGGCGCAGUGGUUGGGAGUCCGCCUGCCAACACAGGGGAUGCGGGGUCGAGCCCUGGUUUGGGAGGAUCCCACAGGCCAUGGAGCAACUGGGCCCGUGCACCACAACUACUGAGCCUGCGCUCUGGAGCCCGCGAGCCACAACUGCUGAGGCCCGCGUGCCUGGAGCCCAUGCUCCGCAACGGGGGAGGCCGUCACAGUGAGAGGCCCAUGCGCCACGGUGAGGAGUGGCCCCCGCUUGCCAUAACUAGGGAGAAGCCCGCGCGCAGCGGUGACGACCCAAUGCAGCCAAAAAUAAAUAAAUAAAAUAAAUAAAUUUAUAAAAAAUAAAUAAAAAUAAAGCCAGAAUCUUUGAGACUAGUACCCAUAUAAUUGAAAUUAUGAUCUAUACCAACACAUCCACUAUAGAGAAUUUACUCUCCAAAUACCUAACCAAAUUAGUAUUUGACAGAUAAACUACAAGAAUCACAAAAAAACCCCCACUCAACUCAGCUGGAGACCUGAUAAAUGGGUCAGUACAAUAGCAAAAAAAUUUGAACUAAAAUGGAAAAAACCUUGAGAUACUGAAAAUGAAUGAAAGAUUUAAAAAUAAAGCAAAAUAAUUUCUCCUUAAUUGUCUCCUUAAUUCUAUUUUUCCCCCAGUAGUCCAUUUUUCUUUAUUGCUAAAUAGUAUUCUACUGUGUGGAUGGACUGUACCAUAAUUUGCGUAUGCAUUCACCUGUGGAUGGAUAUUUGGGUUGUUUCCAGUUUGAGUCUCUUAUGGCUUUAAUUCUAUUUUACUUACUAAAAUUCCUCCAUGAGACAUACAGAGGUUCUCCUGGUUCCUGAUGAAGGUUGAUAUUAUCCCAUAACAGCUGAAUAUACACGAGUUUGCUAUCCUGGGACAGAGAUGACAGGGGAAGCUAAAAAAGAUCAGUAGAAAGUAUUAGUACCCCAAGCAUAAUAAUGAUUACCAGUUGACCUAGCAAAGCCUGAUUAUAUAAAACAGAUGAGUUCUUUCAAAAUUGUGGACCUAAAAUUCUGUGAAAAUUUAAAAAUUUUUAUUUAUAUCUGAUUACAAAUGUUCUUAUUAUUUUCUGAGGUGCAUGUUUCUCAUUCUGACUUUCAAGGACUGAAUGACAACUUGGUAACUGGCACAGCAGCCACAAGAAAGAUUAACCUCCAUCAAAACAAAUUUUAAGGGCAUGUGGGAUUUUAGUUUCCCGACCAGGGAUCGAACCCGUGCCCCCUGCAGUGGAAGUGCGGAGCUCUAACCACUGGACAGCCAGGGAAUUCCCCAUCUACAUCUUAUUUUAAAUGAAUAAAAAUGGGACAUGGAUUUGAGCCCUGGUCUGGGAAGAUCCCAAAUGCCGUGGAGCAACUAAACCCAUGCGCCACAACUACUGAGCCUGCACUCUAGAGCCCGCGUGCCACAACUACUGAAGCCCACAUGCCACAACUACUGAAGCCCGCGUGCCUAGAGCCCCUGCUCCGCAACAAGAGAAGCCACCGCAAUGAGAAGCCCGCACACCGCAAUGAAGAGCAGACCCCACUUGCCACAACUAGAGAAAGCCCGCGUGCAGCAACGAUGACCCAAUGCAGCCAAAAAUAAGUAAAUAAAAUAAAUAAAUUUUUU